rnacentral:rRNA from 1 species
UAGGUUAACGAGGCGAACCGGGGGAACUGAAACAUCUAAGUACCCCGAGGAAAAGAAAUCAACCGAGAUUCCCCCAGUAGCGGCGAGCGAACGGGGAGCAGCCCAGAGUCUGAAUCAGCUUGUGUGUUAGUGGAACGGUCUGGAAAGUCCGACGGUACAGGGUGAUAGUCCCGUACACCAAAAUGCACAGGUUGUGAACUCGAAGAGUAGGGCGGGACACGUGGUAUCCUGUCUGAAUAUGGGGGGACCAUCCUCCAAGGCUAAAUACUCCUGACUGACCGAUAGUGAACCAGUACCGUGAGGGAAAGGCGAAAAGAACCCCGGCGAGGGGAGUGAAAAAGAACCUGAAACCGUGUACGUACAAGCAGUGGGAGCACCUUCGGGUGUGACUGCGUACCUUUUGUAUAAUGGGUCAGCGACUUAUAUUCUGUAGCAAGGUUAACCGUAUAGGGGAGCCGCAGGGAAACCGAGUCUUAACUGGGCGUUAAGUUGCAGGGUAUAGACCCGAAACCCGGUGAUCUAGCCAUGGGCAGGUUGAAGGUUGGGUAACACUAACUGGAGGACCGAACCGACUAAUGUUGAAAAAUUAGCGGAUGACUUGUGGCUGGGGGUGAAAGGCCAAUCAAACCGGGAGAUAGCUGGUUCUCCCCGAAAGCUAUUUAGGUAGCGCCUCGUGAACUCAUCUUCGGGGGUAGAGCACUGUUUCGGCUAGGGGGUCAUCCCGACUUACCAACCCGAUGCAAACUACGAAUACCGAAGAAUGUUAUCACGGGAGACACACGGCGGGUGCUAACGUCCGUCGUGAAGAGGGAAACAACCCAGACCGCCAGCUAAGGUCCCAAAGUCAUGGUUAAGUGGGAAACGAUGUGGGAAGGCACAGACAGCCAGGAUGUUGGCUUAGAAGCAGCCAUCAUUUAAAGAAAGCGUAAUAGCUCACUGGUCGAGUCGGCCUGCGCGGAAGAUGUAACGGGGCUAAACCAUGCACCGAAGCUGCGGCAGCGACACUAUGUGUUGUUGGGUAGGGGAGCGUUCUGUAAGCCUGCGAAGGUGUGCUGUGAGGCAUGCUGGAGGUAUCAGAAGUGCGAAUGCUGACAUAAGUAACGAUAAAGCGGGUGAAAAGCCCGCUCGCCGGAAGACCAAGGGUUCCUGUCCAACGUUAAUCGGGGCAGGGUGAGUCGACCCCUAAGGCGAGGCCGAAAGGCGUAGUCGAUGGGAAACAGGUUAAUAUUCCUGUACUUGGUGUUACUGCGAAGGGGGGACGGAGAAGGCUAUGUUAGCCGGGCGACGGUUGUCCCGGUUUAAGCAUGUAGGCUGGUUAUCCAGGCAAAUCCGGAUAAUCAAGGCUGAGGUGUGAUGACGAGGCACUACGGUGCUGAAGUAACAAAUGCCCUGCUUCCAGGAAAAGCCUCUAAGCAUCAGGUAACAUCAAAUCGUACCCCAAACCGACACAGGUGGUCAGGUAGAGAAUACCAAGGCGCUUGAGAGAACUCGGGUGAAGGAACUAGGCAAAAUGGUGCCGUAACUUCGGGAGAAGGCACGCUGGUGUGUAGGUGAAGUCCCUGCGGAUGGAGCUGAGACCAGUCGAAGAUACCAGCUGGCUGCAACUGUUUAUUAAAAACACAGCACUGUGCAAACACGAAAGUGGACGUAUACGGUGUGACGCCUGCCCGGUGCCGGAAGGUUAAUUGAUGGGGUUAUCCGUAAGGAGAAGCUCUUGAUCGAAGCCCCGGUAAACGGCGGCCGUAACUAUAACGGUCCUAAGGUAGCGAAAUUCCUUGUCGGGUAAGUUCCGACCUGCACGAAUGGCGUAAUGAUGGCCAGGCUGUCUCCACCCGAGACUCAGUGAAAUUGAACUCGCUGUGAAGAUGCAGUGUACCCGCGGCAAGACGGAAAGACCCCGUGAACCUUUACUAUAGCUUGACACUGAACAUUGAGCCUUGAUGUGUAGGAUAGGUGGGAGGCUUUGAAGCGUGGACGCCAGUCUGCGUGGAGCCAACCUUGAAAUACCACCCUUUAAUGUUUGAUGUUCUAACGUUGGCCCCUGACCGGGGUUGCGGACAGUGUCUGGUGGGUAGUUUGACUGGGGCGGUCUCCUCCCAAAGCGUAACGGAGGAGCACGAAGGUUAGCUAAUCCUGGUCGGACAUCAGGAGGUUAGUGCAAUGGCAUAAGCUAGCUUGACUGCGAGCGUGACGGCGCGAGCAGGUGCGAAAGCAGGUCAUAGUGAUCCGGUGGUUCUGAAUGGAAGGGCCAUCGCUCAACGGAUAAAAGGUACUCCGGGGAUAACAGGCUGAUACCGCCCAAGAGUUCAUAUCGACGGCGGUGUUUGGCACCUCGAUGUCGGCUCAUCACAUCCUGGGGCUGAAGUAGGUCCCAAGGGUAUGGCUGUUCGCCAUUUAAAGUGGUACGCGAGCUGGGUUUAGAACGUCGUGAGACAGUUCGGUCCCUAUCUGCCGUGGGCGCUGGAGAAUUGAGGGGGGCUGCUCCUAGUACGAGAGGACCGGAGUGGACGCAUCACUGGUGUUCGGGUUGUCAUGCCAAUGGCACUGCCCGGUAGCUAAAUGCGGAAGAGAUAAGUGCUGAAAGCAUCUAAGCACGAAACUUGCCCCGAGAUGAGUUCU